UGAAUCAGACCCACAAUCAUUUCCAUUAUUUAUAUGCUAUAUUAUCUGCAGCCAAAAAUAAAUUCCAUUACCCUUUUCUCUGUUCCUUCCCCUGAACUCCUUAAACAACUCACUCUUUUAUUAUUAUUAUUAUUAUUAUUAUUAUUAUUAUUAUUAUUAUUAUUUUGUGUUUCACUACUUCCAUGAUGCCAGUUUCAACCAUGUGAAGUUGUUGUGCGUGCUGUGUUUGUUGUUGUGUACUGUUUUGGACCUUCAGAACCAACCAUGAAUCUCAGCAACGGCAAGGGAUCCACUUCGAGUUCUCCUCUGAAAGCCGGAGAUUCUGUCUCCGACCAGUUUCCGGCGGGUCUCCGGGUGCUGGUGGUGGAUGAUGACCCCACUUGCCUUAUGAUCCUUGAGAGGAUGCUCCGUGCUUGUCUCUAUGAAGUGACGAAAUGCCAGCGAGCUGAGGUUGCAUUGUCUCUCUUGAGAGAGAACAAAAACGGGUUUGAUAUCGUUUUAAGCGAUGUGCAUAUGCCAGAUAUGGAUGGAUUUAAGCUUUUGGAGCAUAUUGGGUUGGAGAUGGACCUUCCGGUUAUUAUGAUGUCAGCUGAUGAUGGGAAACAUGUUGUGAUGAAAGGGGUGACACAUGGUGCCUGUGAUUACCUGAUUAAACCUGUUCGGAUUGAGGCUUUGAAGAAUAUAUGGCAGCAUGUGAUUCGGAAGAGAAAGAACGGUUUGAGAGAUGUGGAGCAAUCGGGUAGCGUGGAAGAAGGAGAUCAGCCUCCAAAGGUAUCUGAUGAUGGAGAUUACUCGUCUUCUGUGAAUGAAGCCAGAAGCUCUAAGAAGAGGAGGGACGAGGACGAGGAAGGAGAUGAGAAGGAUGAUUCCUCCACGUUGAAGAAGCCGCGAGUUGUUUGGUCUGUUGAGCUUCAUCAACAGUUUAUGGCUGCUGUGAAUCAACUUGGAAUUGAUAAGGCUGUUCCUAAAAAGAUUUUGGAAUUGAUGAAUGUUCCUGGGCUCACUAGAGAAAAUGUUGCUAGCCACCUCCAGAAAUACCGUUUGUAUCUUAGAAGGCUGAGUGGAGUUUCACAGCAGCAGGGUAACUUGAACAACUCCUUCAUGAGCUCACAAGAAGCAACAUUUGGGGGAACCUCAAUCAAUGGAAUUGAUCUUCAAACUCUUUCAGCUGCUGGCCAGUUCCCAUCACAAAGUCUAGCCAAGCUUCAAGCCACGGGACUUGGCAGGACAACUGCUAAAGCUGGUGUGCCUAUGCCUCUAUCUGAUCAAAAAAACCUUUUCAGUUUUGAGAACCCAAGAUUAAGAUUUGGAGAAGGGUCACUACAACAUUUAAGCAACAGUAAGCCUAUAAACUUGCUUCAUGGAAUUCCAACCAACAUGGAGCCAAAACAACUCGCCAAUUUGCACCAAUCUACCCAACCCCUUGGUAGCUUGAAUAUGCGAGUCAAUGCUCCUGUCACACAGAACAACCCUUUGUUGAUGCAGAUGGCUCAGUCUCAACCAAGAGGUCAGAUGCUAGGUGAAAAUGCUGGUUCUCAUGUAACCAGGUUUCCGUCAUCUUUGGUGCAGCCUACAGUAUCAAAUGGUAUUUCUAAUGGUGUUUUGGGAAAUGGGAUUGCUGGCACCAGCAACAUAACUACUUAUAAUCCAGUUCAACAAAACUCGUCAUUGUUGAGUUUUCCCAUGAACCAAACAAAUGAAAUAUCUGUCAGUAAUUUCCCUCUUAGAAGCAGUCCAGGUAUAACUAGUAUCACAAAUAAAGGUAUGUUUCAUGAAGAAGGUACCUCUGGUAUUAAAGGACCUGGUGGAUUUGUUCAAGGGUAUGACAUGUUUAAUGAACUCCACCAUCAGAAGUCCCAUGAUUGGGACUUAACAAACACUGGCAUGACAUAUGAUGCUGCUCACCAUGCAAAUCCUUUACAAGGUAACAUUGAUGUCUCACCAUCAGUUUUGGUCCAUCAGAGUUUUCCCACCAUGCACCAGACUGUACAAAAUAGAGAUACUACUUCAAUUGGAAAAGCUAUGUUCUCCACAGGUGAAGGCAUGCAUCAAAGUAAUCUCCAAAAUGUUGGUCAACACCACAAUAACCUUCUUCUUGACAAUUCAGUAAGGGUUAAGGCUGAAAGAAUUCCUGAUCCUAGCUGCCAGAUUAAUAACCUCUUCGCUGAUCAAUAUGGUCAGGAGGAUCUUGUCAGUGCAUUUCUGAAACAGGGGUGACAAAUGCUGCUGUGACUCCAAAAGAAGACCAAUUGAAGAUAAAUGAGGAGGACAAAGGAGACAUUUGGACAAGGGUUAGUAAGCCAACUAGAGACAGAGGUAUCAAGCGAAGAAGGUAAGUAGGUACCUUGACCAGAGGGUUGACCACACAAGAAUCCAUCGUUAGCCAAGGUAACAGAAGAAGGCAUGGGCACAGCGGGUGGCGCCACUCCAAGCAAGGUCCCCAACAUGUCCACCCUCACUUGCAUCUGAUUCAAGUCCCCGGCGGUCGCCUGUUAGGUGCUGGGUUUGUGGUUGCUGGUUUCGAGGGUCCAGCACCUCCAGAAGAAGAAGAAGAGAAGAAGACAAGCUCAAGGUAAGGAGGAAAUUAUAUUUCUCAUAUCCUGCUUGUUUGUUUACAUGGCUAUAUAUAGAGGAAUUCACAUAACAAAUUUGUGUCAAUUCUUAUUCAAAAGGAAUAUUCUAAUAACAGAUUUUGUUAUGCAUGUAUGCCUAUGAGGGAGCAAACACCCCAAGCAGGAUUUGGUGCUGAUUCUACUAAUCCGGUCUUCCAAUUCUGCCCCUUAGACGUCAUCAUCAAGGUUUUGGUUUUGACCGUUUUGUUCGGUGGUGAUCACGUAAGUUUGGAUGUGGGCAUGGUCAAGGAGAAGGGUGGCUUGGCCAAAUGGCUAAUUAAGUUGAAACGGUAUUUAGGAGUGGGUUGGAAUUUGGAUAUUUUGUUUUCGGAUUAAUUCCUGAGUGGUGACUUGUUUGUUUAGGAAGUGUUUAUUAUUGUUUACAGAUUCUCAAAUUAUGACCAAUUGCUGAAUGAGAAAGGGUAUUUGUUGCAUGCCA